CCUACGGGGGGCUGCAGUGGGGGAUAUUGCACAAUGGGGGAAACCCUGAUGCAGCGACGCCGCGUGUGGGAUGACGGUCUUCUGGAUUGUAACCCACUGUCCCCAGGGACAAAAAUGACGGUACCUGGGGAGAAAGCUCCGGCUAACUACGUGCCAGCAGCCGCGGUAAUACGUAGGGAGCAAGCGUUGUCCGGAAUUACUGGGUGAAAGGGGAGCGUAGGCGGGGAUGCAAGUUGGGUGUCAAAACUACCGGCUCAACCGAGAAGUGCACUCAAAACUGGUACUCUUGAGUGAAGUAGAGGCAAGCGGAAUUCGUAGUGGAGCGGUGAAAUGCGUAGAUAUUAGGAGGAACACCAGAGGCGAAGGCGGCCUGCUGGGCUUUUACUGACGCUGAGGCUCGAAAGUGUGGGGAGCAAACAGGAUUAGAUACCCGUGUAGUC
rnacentral:rRNA from 1 species